AACGAACGCUGGCGGCAUGCCUAACACAUGCCAGUCGAACGAGACCUUCGGGUCUAGUGGCGCACGGGUGCGUAACGCGUGGGAACCUGCCCUUAGGUUCGGAAUAACUCCCCGAAAGGGGUGCUAAUACCGGAUAAUGUCUUCGGACCAAAGAUUUAUCGCCUUUGGAUGGGCCCGCGUUGGAUUAGCUAGUUGGUAGGGUAAAAGCCUACCAAGGCGACGAUCCAUAGCUGGUCUGAGAGGAUGAUCAGCCACACUGGGACUGAGACACGGCCCAGACUCCUACGGGAGGCAGCAGUGGGGAAUAUUGGACGAUGGGCGAAAGCCUGAUCCAGCAAUGCCGCGUGAGUGAUGAAGGCCUUAGGGUUGUAAAGCUCUUUUACCCGGGAUGAUAAUGACAGUACCGGGAGAAUAAGCGCCGGCUAACUCCGUG
rnacentral:rRNA from 1 species